AUCCAUCUGAUGAGUCCCAAAUGGGACGAAACGCGCGUCCUGGAU
rnacentral:hammerhead_ribozyme from 1 species